GACGAACGCUGGCGGCGUGCCUAAUACAUGCAAGUUGAGCGCUGAAGGUUGGUACUUGUACCAACUGGAUGAGCAGCGAACGGGUGAGUAACGCGUGGGGAAUCUGCCUUUGAGCGGGGGACAACAUUUGGAAACGAAUGCUAAUACCGCAUAAAAACUUUAAACACAAGUUUUAAGUUUGAAAGAUGCAAUUGCAUCACUCAAAAAUGAUACCGCGUUGUAUUAGCUAGUUGGUGAGGUAAAGGCUCAACAAGGCGAUGAUACAUAGCCGACCUGAGAGGGUGGUCGGCCACAUUGGGACUGAGACACGGCCCAAACUCCUACGGGAGGCAGCAGUAGGGAAUCUUCGGCAAUGGACGGAAGUCUGACCGGGCAACGCCGCGUGAGUGAAGAAGGUUGUCGGAUCGUAAAAAUCUGUUGGUAGGGAAGAACGUUGGGGAGAGUGGAAAGCGCAUCAAGUGACGGUAACUACCCAGAAAGGGACGGCUAACUACGUG
rnacentral:rRNA from 1 species